rnacentral:rRNA from 1 species
AUUGAACGCUGGCGGCAUGCUUUACACAUGCAAGUCGAACGGCAGCGCGGGGCAACCUGGCGGCGAGUGGCGAACGGGUGAGUAAUAUAUCGGAACGUACCCAGAAGUGGGGGAUAACGUAGCGAAAGUUACGCUAAUACCGCAUACGAUCUACGGAUGAAAGUCGGGGACCGCAAGGCCUUAUGCUUUUGGAGCGGCCGAUAUCUGAUUAGCUAGUUGGUGAGGUAAAGGCUCACCAAGGCGACGAUCAGUAGCUGGUCUGAGAGGACGACCAGCCACACUGGAACUGAGACACGGUCCAGACUCCUACGGGAGGCAGCAGUGGGGAAUUUUGGACAAUGGGCGCAAGCCUGAUCCAGCAAUGCCGCGUGAGUGAAGAAGGCCUUCGGGUUGUAAAGCUCUUUUGUCAGGGAAGAAACGGUAGAGGCUAAUAUCCUGUGCUAAUGACGGUACCUGAAGAAUAAGCACCGGCUAACUACGUG